AGCAAUACAAGAGGAGUGACUCUGUUGCCCAGCUGGUGAUUGAUACCGUGGGAUCUAAGAAUAGUCCUGUUGGACCAGUCUUUGAGAUCACCUGGAAAGGAAAGUAAUGACAUGAACAAAGCCAUCAGAAAAAGAUGGGAGAGUCAUUAAAAGGUCAAAAUGAUAAGACAAACAAUACCACUAUUUUUCCACUGAAAGGCUUCAAAAACUAACCAAGUUGAAGAACACACCAAGAACCAGGAAUAUAUCAGCAUGUCAUCUGAAGGUUCAAGUGGUAUAUUUACAUCCAACUAGCCUGAAGCACAAAUAUAGCUACCUACUGAAGAAACAGUGUCUCCAAAAACUAAACACAGUUCCCAGUGUUUGUUGAUCAAAGUUUUCCCAUUUAUUGAAGUUACAUAAGAUGGCUAUUGAUACACCUUUUGCAAAAAAGCUAACAAAGAGGGAAAGUUUCCCAAUGCUAUAAUCGGUAAAAGGAGGAGGAGGUGCUUGGUUUGCCAGACCAAUUAGGAAAGCCAAUGCUGACAAACUACAUGAAAAGACUGCAAAACAUCAAAUCUCUGGACUGCAUUAACAUGCAGAAAGCCUUAUAAGCCAGUCACUUUCAAAGCCAAUUUUAGAAGUACUUAAUGAGGCUGUGUCGCGGGUUGGGCCUGCGGUCACACCUGUACACCCCCCAUCAGGGCUGUGCAGCCUAGCAGCCAGAGUCAAUCCCUGCCCCCAGGCUCGAGACUGUGCGGCCUAACAGUCCAUCCAUCACUAUCAGGAUGGGCCACCACCUCCAGAUGGGCAGCAGCCAUGGUAGGGGGACUCGGGCCCUCCCUCUCCACCGGGUCCCAAUCCAGGGCCCUGUCAGUGGUGGGGUUGCCUGCUACCAGCUUGGUGGGGAUCUGGCCAAAACACACUGAGCUAGCUUCCGGUUGUUCAACCAACUCUCCGCAAAGACUCCCUGGGUUACUUCCUACCCGCUUCUCCGCAUCUCGUGGCUUCCUCGUUCCCCAGUUGCUUCUCCCUCAGUCACGUCCAGACCCUGGGAGUUGAGGGUUGCUGUCAGCUGGCUGGCCUCUGCAUUGUAAAGUGCCCACAGCCCUUCAGCAGGAGUCAGCAGCACACCUCCUUCCCCUACAGUGGUCCACCCAGACUGAGCCAGGCUGCUCCUUCUUAUACUGGUGUUGUACUUCGAGCAUGCCCAGUAGGGCCAUGGGGGCGUGGCUUCCUCAGCCCUCAGUGAGGGGUUAACCCCCUCAGUCCCAGUGCGCGGCAUGCAUGCCCAAUCUCACACACCCCCUUUAAGAAGGUGUCCUUUGGUGGCCCCUCUUCCACAUCUUCCCCUCCUACCUGGGAAAGGAAGUCUGCGUUUUGUGUGAGCCUUACCGGGUCGGUAGGUGACUUGAAAGUCGUAUGGCUGGAUUGAAAAGUACCACCUCGUGAUUCUGGCAUUGGUGUCCUUCUUACUGUUAAGCCAUCGAAGUGGCGCAUGGUCAGUGACCAACUAGAAGGGGUUCUCCAGCAAGUAGUACCUUAGGGCAUCGAUCGCCCACUUCACUGCCAGGGCCUCCUUCUCUAUCAUUGAGUACCUCUUCUCCCAGGGGAACAACUUCCUACUCAAAUAGAGGACUGGAUGCUACUCUCCCUCGUCUUCCUGGGACAACACUGCUCCCAAUCCUUCUUCUGAUGCAUCAGUCCGUAAUAUGAAAGGCCUGUCGAAGUCAGGGUGAAAUAGGACUGGCUCCCUACUUAGUUGGUCCUUCAAUUUCUGGAAGGCCUUCUAACAUUCGGCUGACCACUGUACCUUGAGGGCCUGUGAGCUCUUUGUUGGGUCCGACAAAGGUGCUGCGAUCAUUGCAAACCUCGGCACAAAGCAGCGGUAGUAUCCUGCCAGGCCCAGGAAUUGGCAUACCUGCCUUUUUGUUGUAGGUGUUGGGUAGUCCCGUAAGACUUGUACCUUGUCCACCAGGGGACGUAAAGUCCCUCAGCCCACCAUAUACCCCAGAUAUAUUACCUCUUGCUGCCCAAGGUGGCACUUGGCUGGGUUGCGGUGAUUCCGGCUUCUCCUACGGCUUACAAGACCGCCGCAAGGUGCUGAAGAUGUCCUUCCCAUGUGGGGCUGUACACCACUAUGUCAUCUAUAUAGGCAGCUGCGUACGGGUGGUGGGGUUGUAACAGUCUGUCCAUCAGUCAUUGGAACGUGGCCGUGGCCCCAUGCAUGCCAAAAGGCAUGGUGACGAAGUGAUACAGCCUGAAUGGGGGAAGGAAGGGAGUCUUCUCAUGGGAUUUGGGCAUCAGAGGUAUUUGCCAGUACCCCUUUGUGAAGUCUAACGUUGAGAUAAAUGCUGCGUUACCCAGCCAUUCCAGUAGUUCAUCCACUCUGGGCAUCUGGUGUGCGUUAAACUGGGAUAUUGUGUUGACCUCCCAGAAGUUUAUGCGGAAUUGUACGAUCCCGUCGGAUUUUGGGACUAGUAUGAUAUGGCUCCACCAUUCACUGUGUGAUUCCUCCAUGACCCCCAUGUCCAGCAUCAUGUGGAGCUCCCUCUGGACUGACCCCCACAUCUUCUUUGGCAGCAGCAGAUGGUUAUCAUGGACCUUCUGGCCAGGGAGGGUGGUAAUGUGAUGACUCACCAGUUCAGUCUGCCCUGUGUGAGGUGACAGCAUGGUGGCAAAGGCCCCGACUAGCUGCCUCCCAUUGCCCCAUGUCCAGUCCUACUCCAAUCGCAAUGAGCAUGGGGUCCAUGAGAUCAGCGGGCCGAGUUCUGGUUAUGAGGGAUAUUGGGUGAUCAGUCAAACCCUCCUGUGUCUUCCACUCUUUUAGGAGGUUCACAUGAUAAGUCCGGACUUCUUUCCAUCUGCCUGGCAGCCGCACUUCAUAGUCUACGGUCCCCACCUGCCUAACCCCCUCAAAUGACCCUUGCCAUUUGGCCAGAAGUUUGGACUUUGUGGAGGGUAGUUGUCAUAACUAUAGAGGGAAGGGUAUCAGCCCUCCAGUGUACAAUACUAUAAAAUCCCUCCUGGCCAGAGACUCCAAAAUCCUUUUCCCUGUAAAGGGUUAAGAAGUUCAGGUAACCUGGCUGACACCUGACCCAAAAGACCAAUAAGGGGACAAGAUACUUUCAAAUCUUGGUGGCGGGGGAGGCUUUUGUUUGUGCUCUUUGUUUUGGGUGGUCGCUCUUGGGACUGAGAGGGGCCAGACAUCAAUCCAUGCUCUCCAAAUCUUUCUGAACAAGUCUUUCAUAUUUCAAACUUGUAAGUAAACAGCCAGGCAAGGCAUGUUAGUUUUAUCUUUGUUUUCUCAACUUGUAAAUGUACCUUUUACUAGGGUGUUUGCUGUAACUUUGAACCUAAGGCUGGAGGAGGUCCUCUGGACUCUUUAAGUUUGAUUACCCUGUAAAGUUAUUUUCCAUCCUGAUUAUACAGAGAUGAUUUUUACCUUUUUCUUUAAUUAAAAGCCCUCUUUU